rnacentral:tRNA from 1 species
GGCCCGUUAGUCUAGCGGUUAGGACAUCGGCCUCUCACGCCGAGAGCAUGGGUUCAAGUCCCGUACGGGUCACCA